AACUUUUGAUCUCCAAAAUCUCUCUCUCUCGCCUCUCAGUUGCUGUAGCACUGAAGCUGCUCAGUAUAGCAGUGCUCACUCUCCUACCAGUCCGCCACAAUACCGCCGAUAUGGGAAUCCGAUUGUGGUGGAGAAUACUGAGAGGGGAUAGUGGGAUCUCCAUAAGAUACGGGCAGUUUUUGGUUUUGGAAUAUGAUUUUUUUAAGAUAGUAUCUAUCUGAACUGUAGAAUUGUAAUCAAUGUCUCUCUCUUUCAAAUAUGUGGACUUUGUAAUAUGUGGUGUUUUGAUGUAUGUGUGGUUGUAGUACACAUUGAAAGAGAUUUGGACCCGGCUAUAAAAUAUUGUGUUUUGGUAUAAUCUAUAUUUUUGUUGU